rnacentral:lncRNA from 1 species
GGGCUGGGCAAGGCGGGAGGAGCGCGGACCCAAGAUCGGCUACGCUGCGUCUGCUCAGGCUGCGAGUUCCCGGCUCUGGGGACUCACCUUGCGGAGCUUACCCAGGCGGACUCUCCGCAGCCCCUGAUGGGUGUGUGUGUCAGACCGUUUACUAAACACCAGGACUGUUGUAGGCGACUGUAAGAAAUAAGAAUAUUGCAUGGUUACAAUUCUUGAAUGCUUACCUUGUGUCUUGUUCCUUACUCUACAGAAAUUUUCUAAUCCCGUGGCGAACCCCCGUACUUCAACGUAUGACAUUCUGUAAAUCUACAAAACAGAUGGGUCCCUGCCUUUGAGAAGUUUUUACAAUUUAGUGGGUACUGGACACGGACCUAAUUUAAUUCUCACAUGCCUUCCCUUUCUAAUAAGCUGCAUGUUAUGUAUCCCUAUUCUACAGAUGUGGGGAAUCCGAAAUUUUUAGCUUUUACUGGGACACACAGCUAGCAAGCAACUAAAGCGAGAAUUCCAACCUGAGCUCCAAUCCGAACUAUUUUCAUAAAAGGCAGGAUCCCAGGCUGAGGGAGUUCGAGGUUUGGGAGACAGUUUAGCAGUCGCUGAGUCCAAACAUGUUGUUUUCCUAGAAAAGAAAACUGAGAUCCAGGAAAGGGAAGUGAUUUUCCAAAGACACACCUGUGAAAGGUAAUAAUUUCACUGAACGGAUCUUAAGUGGCAGGUGCACUAAGAUUGUCUGCUAUCUUCACAACAACCCCGAAGUAAAUAAGUGCUCUUAUCUUGGUCUUACAGGUGAGGAGAACAGCCCAGUGAGGCUGAGGCCACACAAUUAACCCCAGUCUUUGCACUACAACUCUACCAGGGAUCCUGGUUUGGCUCAUUUUCUUUCUUCUGCACCAUGAUUGUUCACCUUUUCAUUACCAGCAACAUACCCAAAGACCUAGCUAUAGACUCGUUGGAAUCUGUUACUUAGCAGCUGUGUGAAUCAAGUGUUCAAUAGGAAUAAUAAGAUGUAUUCAUCUUACCUUUUCAGAACAUUAUGAAGAACAAAUGUGGUAAGACAUAUGAAAAUGCUUUGUAAAGUGUUAGAUGCUUAAUACACAGAAGACAUUGCUUCCAGAUCUGUUUCAACGUACCCCAAGAAUGGAAUAAGUGGAAUAUGCUGGUUUCAUGCACUGUGGCAAGGGGGUCUCAUCUUGGCUAGACUUGAAUAAGUGGAUUUGUUGCCUGGCCUCUGUGGAUGGCUCUUUCUCUGGGCUUUUGUGUAUUUGAUUUUUUAUUUGCUCCAGCAGCCGUGUUGAACCAUGAAAGGACCUCAGGAAUGAAACCCACACACAGCAAAGCAACAAAGUGAAAGAAGCGUGGAUUCCUAAUGCAGGAGGCACUGAACCAAUCAAUACCCACUGCCCUCCAGACCUCCACAUGAAAGAAAAAAACUGCUGUCCUGUGAAGAAGACACUCCCCAGAUGCCAGCAACUUGAUAUUGGACUUCCUGCCUUUAGAAACAUUCCUUUAAGCCUCUCUGAAACUUGACCCUCUGGCAGGAACAGGUGCCAUUACAUACAGACACUCUCUCUCUUCCAAAUUCACCCUGUCAUAUCAAAGGGAAAACUGAAGUGGUCCACUGUAGACCUGACAGAUGAUCACAAACAGGAAACCAGCAAUCAGAAGUGCCUACUGAGCUCCCUACCCUGACCAUCACCUACAGCUACAUUUUACAGAUACAAAAUCAUUGUUUGUUCAACUUUCAUAUCAAAGGAUGCUAUUAGUUCAUUUCCAAAGGUGGGAAAAUGUUUCAACUUACUUUAUUACUUGUCUGCUACUUACUAUUUUCCCUCCGUUUGCCUGCCUGACUUCUUUUAACUCUUCACUCAACAAAUAUCUACUGACUACUGAGCACUUGCCAAGUGCUAGGCCAGAGCUGGAUGCUGUACUACGGGCAGAUGAAGUGCUAUGGGCAUCCAGAGGUGGAAGAAGAGGGUAUAGCGAAAGGGGAGAAAAGGCUGCAACAAUAUUCACUGAGCCCUGUGCUCCCAGGUCAUCACAUAGACUAUGUCAUUAUUCCUCCUAACCACCCACAUGAGUAAAUAGGGGCUAUUACUGAAGAAACAGAGGCUUACAAAGGUUGAGCAACUUGCCCAAGGUCAUCUAUCACAAGACACUACAAGUCAGACUGCUGAAGAGGGAGUUUCUGCUGAGAAGCUGAAGUGGGCAGCUCAUAUUGGAUAUGAAGGCUUCAAAGGAAUCUAAAUCCUAAUGAUCCCUCUAGAGCCAACAUGCAGCACCAGUUUUCUCUUCCACAUUUGAACUGCUCAUCCACUUCCGGCUCCAAGACCUCACUCUCCAUCUAAACUAGUCCCACGCCAUCCAUAUCUUUCUCCACUAACGCCACCCAAUCACAACCCCACAGCCUCUUAGUCAUGAGUCAUUUUUUAAAAACUGCAAACCAUGUAAUGAGCCAUGGCAAUAUGCAACCCUAAACCUCAACACGUGUUUUCCACAACAAGGCCACAGGUGGCAGAAGCGAGCCUAAGGCCGUAGGACACUAAGGCAGGACUCUCUGGCUUGAGCUUUCCAAAAAGGGAGGUGAGAGAAGGUCUACCUGCGGGAAGUCAUGCUGAAGGCCUGAGGCUGAGUCAAAGAAGGAGCCCCCUGGAGGCUCUGCAGUUCCUGGACUUCAGGUAGAGGAACUCUGCCAUGAACACCUCUGGAAUCGUGUCAUUUUGGGACAAUUAGAGAAUAUCAGUUUUCAGACUGAGUUCUAUGGGAAGGUGCCUGCACAACAAAGGAGAGACGGAAUGGACUUCAGGUCUUCCAAAAUACCCCUCAUGUUCACCAAGUUGCUCUCUGCUCUAAGAUACCAGAUGAGGGGGCCAGUGGGGACUGAAACCCAGUCCCCAGUCUGCUGGCCAAUCCCUUUGCCUGUGAGGCUGCUCUGUCCUACCAGAGAGGGCACUUUUCAUAAUUUGCACCAAGUACAGAAUAGGAUAGUGUAGCUUUACCCUUCUCCCUACCAUCAACCACAGACACAUCAACACAUGCACACAUACAGCCACACAAAUAUACCUACAGGCAUACACAUACAACACAGGCACAUACAUGUUUGCACAAAGUCACAUGUAGACACAAACGCAGAGCACACAGACACAAACACAGGCACAAACCCAUACUUACACUACACACACACACAAACACACACAGACACACAAAUGCAAAUUAAGCCACAAUGUAGCACAUAGAGAUAUAGACACAGACGCAAAUACAGUCACAUAGAGAUAUAGACACACACUUAUACACACAUAUAUGUAAAUAUACAGUCUCAUUCACUUUAUACCACACAUGUAUAAACAUACACAAUUGUAUGUAGACACACAUACACAUAGGUACUCAGACCGCAUAGAUACAUAUGUACACACAUACAAAUAUAUGCACAUACACAGAUAUAUAUAUACACACAUGCAUCUUUAACCAGAACAACUUUACUUUUGUCAGUUUUAUAUGACAGAGUCUUUAAAAAAAGAUUUCAUCUGGCUUGUGUUCUACUAUUAAAAGAGAAAAUGAAUUUGCUUGUUUCAAGGAUUCAUGUUUCUUUCAUUAAUCAAUCAGAUACUUGAUGACAAUAUAUAGAAAUAAAAUGACAGUGAGGAGUAUG